rnacentral:rRNA from 1 species
UACGGAAGGGGCGAGCGUUGUUCGGAAUCAUUGGGCGUAAAGGGCGCGUAGGUGGUUUUGUAUGUCUGCCGUGAAAGGGUACAGCUUAACUGUAGCUUGUCGGUAGAAACUGCAGGACUUGAGGCUGGGAGGGGCUGGUGGAAUUCCCUGUGUAGCGGUGAAAUGCGUAGAGAUGGGGGAGAACACUCGUGGCGAAGGCGGCCAGCUAGACCAGUUCUGACACUGAGGCGCGACAGCGUGGGGAGCAAACAGG